CAGCAGCCGCGGGAAUACGUAGGCGGCAAGCGUUGUCCGGAAUUAUUGGGCGUAAAGGGCUCGCAGGCGGUUUCUUAAGUCUGAUGUGAAAGCCCCCGGCUCAACCGGGGAGGGUCAUUGGAAACUGGGAAACUUGAGUGCAGAAGAGGAGAGUGGAAUUCCACGUGUAGCGGUGAAAUGCGUAGAGAUGUGGAGGAACACCAGUGGCGAAGGCGACUCUCUGGUCUGUAACUGACGCUGAGGAGCGAAAGCGUGGGGAGCGAACAGGAUUAGAUACCCGAGUAGUCCCUGUCUCUUAUAA
rnacentral:rRNA from 1 species